rnacentral:lncRNA from 1 species
AGAGUUGCUCAGCAGAGGCUGUGUGGGAAGCCAUUCUCGCACGUGAUUGGGCACCUCCCAGAUUGGGUGUGAGGCAUUCUGGCCAAACUGUGUCGGAGCUAUCCCCACCCUCUCCAGGUGCAAGAGCCUGUCCAUGUGGGGGUGUGACUGACCACUGACCCUGAGGCCAAUCACUGACCCUGAUCUUGGAAUGCUGCCCCCCUCGACCUUCAUUGGAUGGAAUUUUCCCCUGAAUUUCUUGUUCCCCAAUAAAAGGC